AUUAAAGAGUUUAACUACUCAAACCAUUGUGAACCUUACCUCAACCGUUGCUUCGGCGGGCGGGCCCGGGCCAAGCCCGGCGGCCCCCCCGGCCCCUCGCGGGCGCCCGCCGGAGGUUAACCAAACCCUUGAAUUGUAUGGCCUCUCUGAGUCUUUGUACUGAAUAAGUCAAAACUUUCAACAACGGAUCUCUUGGUUCUGGCAUCGAUGAAGAACGCAGCGAAAUGCGAUAAGUAAUGUGAAUUGCAGAAUUCAGUGAAUCAUCGAAUCUUUGAACGCACAUUGCGCCCGCCAGUAUUCUGGCGGGCAUGCCUGUUCGAGCGUCAUUUCAACCAUCAAGCCCCCGGGCUUGUGUUGGGGACCUGCGGCUGCCGCAGGCCCUGAAAAACAGUGGCGGGCUCGCUAGUCACACCGAGCGUAGUAGUCUACACCUCGCUCAGGGCGUGCUGCGGGUUCCGGCCGUUAAAAGCCUUAUUUUACCCAAGGUUGACCUCGGAUCAGGUAGGAAGACCCGCUGAACUUAAGCAUAUCAAUAAGCGGAGGAAAAGAAACCAACAGGGAUUGCCCUAGUAACGGCGAGUGAAGCGGCAACAGCUCAAAUUUGAAAUCUGGCUUCGGCCCGAGUUGUAAUUUGCAGAGGAAGCUUUGGGCGCGGUACCAACUGAGUCCCCUGGAACGGGGCGCCACAGAGGGUGAGAGCCCCGUAUAGUUGGACGCCUAGCCUGUGUAAAGCUCCUUCGACGAGUCGAGUAGUUUGGGAAUGCUGCUCAAAAUGGGAGGUAAAUUUCUUCUAAAGCUAAAUACCGGCCAGAGACCGAUAGCGCACAAGUAGAGUGAUCGAAAGAUGAAAAGCACUUUGAAAAGAGGGUUAAAUAGCACGUGAAAUUGUUGAAAGGGAAGCGCUUGUGACCAGACUUGCGCCCGGCUGAUCAUCCGGUGUUCUCACCGGUGCACUCUGCCGGGCUCAGGCCAGCAUCGGUUCUCGUGGGGGGAUAAAGGUCCUGGGAACGUAGCUCCUCCGGGAGUGUUAUAGCCCAGGGCGUCAUGCCCCCGCGGGGACCGAGGACCGCGCAUCUGCAAGGAUG
rnacentral:sRNA from 1 species